rnacentral:tRNA from 1 species
GGAUGUUUUUGACUUCUCUCGAGG